rnacentral:rRNA from 1 species
CCUACGGGAGGCAGCAGUGGGGAAUAUUGGGCAAUGGGCGCAAGCCUGACCCAGCAACGCCGCGUGAAGGAAGAAGGCUUUCGGGUUGUAAACUUCUUUUUUCAGGGACGAAGAAAGUGACGGUACCUGAGGAAUAAGCCACGGCUAACUACGUGCAAGCAGCCGCGGUAAUCCGUAGGUGGCAAGCGUUAUCCGGAUUUAUUGGGUGUAAAGGGCGUGUAGGCGGGAGGGCAAGUCAGAUGUGAAAACUCAGGGCUCAACCCUGGGCCUGCAUUUGAAACUGUGUUUCUUGAGUGCUGGAGAGGCAAUCGGAAUUCCGGGUGUAGCGGUGAAAUGCGUAGAUAUACGGAGGAACACCAGUGGCGAAGGCGGCCUGCUGGACGACAACUGACGGUGAGGCGCGAAAGCGUGGGGAGCAAACAGGAUUAGAUACCCUUGUAGUC